GUGAAAGGCCAAUCAAACUUAGAGAUAGCUGGUUCUUCGCGAAAUUUAUUGAGGUAAAGCGUACAUAGACAAAACUGUUAAUGGGGGUAGAGCACUUAUUGAGCUAUGGGGGUCCAAAACCUUACUGCUCUCAAGGAAACUCCGAAUACCAUCUAACAUGUAACACGAAGUGUGCAGUCAGACAUAUAGUGCUAAGGUUAUAUGUCGAAAGGGAAACAGCCCAGCCCAGACGCUAAGGUCCCUAAGCUUUCUGUGAGUGGGAAAAGGAGUGAAACAACGUUGACAGCUAGGAGGUUGGCUUGGAAGCAGCCAUUCUAUCAUGAAAGCGUAAUAGCUCACUAGUCGAGUUGUUUUGCACUGAAAAUGUAUCGGGGCUGAACAGAAACACCGACGCGCUGGUUUAAAGAUCUUUAUUUAAAGGUAGCGAAGCGUUUUGUACGCCAAUGAAGAAGAUACGUGAGUAUUUUUGGAGGUAUCAAAAGUGACUAUGCUGACAUGAGUAACGAAAAUCAUGUAGAAUCAUGAUCACCGUAUGUUCAAGGGUUUCUGCGUUCUGGUCUACAGCGCAGAGUUAUGUUCGGUCCCUAAGAGAUACACGCAUCCGUGUGCUUAAUGGACAGGAUUUAUAUAGGACGGUACUUGCUUCUAAAAGCUACAAUUGGAUAUGGUGUAUAGUAAGUAAGUAUCCAGGAAAAUGUAUAAAUGUAUUGACCGUACCCUAAACCGACACAGGUGAACGAGUCGAAUAGACUCAGGUGAUGAGAGAACCACAUUGAAGGAACUCGGCAAAAUAUUCCCGUACCUUAGGAAGAAGGGAAACCAAGUAUGGUGACACAAAAAUGGGGGUGACGACUUUUUACUAAAAAAUUAGGACUCUGCAAAAUGGUAACAUGAAGUAUAGGGUCUGACGUCUGCCCGGUGCUAGAAGUUUAAAAGGAGUGUUGAAAGAUACAAAUGGAAAGCCUAGUAAACGGCGGUUGUAACUAUAACAAUCAUAAAGUAGCGAAAUUCAUUGUCAGCUAAUUCCUGACCUGCAUGAAAGGCGUAACGAUUGCCCCACUGUCUCCAGUAUGGACUCCGUGAAAUUGAACUCUCCGUGCAGAUGCGGAGAAUGUGCCCCAAGACGAGAAGACCCUAUGCAUCUUUACUGUACAUUUACACUGGAAAAAAGCUUGAAUUGUGUAGGAUAGGUGGGAGUUGUCAACACCCUUGAAAUACCACCCUUUUUAAGAGGAGUUCCUUAUUUGAAUAAUAUUCAAAAACACUGUAUAUGAGGCAGUUUGACUGGGGCGGUCGCCUCCUAAAGAGUAACGGAGGUGUGCGAAGGUAAACUCAAUGAAAGACGGAAACUUUCUGUAGAGCGUAAUGGUAGAAGUUUGCCUGACUGCGAGAGUGACAGCUCGAGCAGAGACGAAAGUCGGUCAUAGUGAUCCAAAAGUGCUGUGUGGAAAGACUUUUGCUUAACGAAUCAAAGAUACGCUAGGGAUAACAGGCUAAUACUCCCCAAGAGUCCUUAUCGACGGGAGUGUUUGGCACCUCGAUGUUGACUGAUCAUAUCCUGGGGCUGAAAAAGGUCCCAAGGGUUCGGCUGUUCGCCGAUAAAAAUGGUACCUGAGUUGAGUUUAGAACGUCGUGAGACAGUUUGGAUUCUACCUGGGGUGCACGCGAAGAAUUGAGAAACUCAUUUCCUUGUACGAGAGGACCGGAAAUGUUCAACCUCUGGUGCACUGGUUGUUCUGCCAAGAGCAGUGCCAGGUAGCUACGUUGAGAAAGGAGAACCGUUGAAAGCAUCUUAAAUGGGAAACUUUUUUCAAGACAAAUUCUUAGAAACACGUGAAAGUCUCUCACGUAGAUAGGCGAAAAGUGAACCUUUUGAAAAAAAGUAGCUGAUUCGUACUAAAAGAACCACAGAUAAUUCAA
rnacentral:rRNA from 1 species